rnacentral:rRNA from 1 species
UACGUAGGGGGCAAGCGUUGUCCGGAUUUAUUGGGCGUAAAGGGCGCGUAGGCGGUCACGCACGUCCGUUGUGAAAUCGCUCGGCUCAACUGGGCGGGGUCAGCGGAUACGGCGUGGCUGGAGCAAGCUAGGGGGCAAUGGAAUUCCCGGUGUAGUGGUGGAAUGCGUAGAUAUCGGGAGGAACACCAGUGGCGAAGGCGGUUGCCUGGAGCUUUGCUGACGCUGAUGCGCGAAAGCGUGGGGAGCGAACAGG